rnacentral:rRNA from 1 species
CAGCCGCCACGGGAAAACGGAGGGAGCUAGCGUUGUUCGGAAUUACUGGGCGUAAAGCGCGCGUAGGCGGUUACUCAAGUCAGAGGUGAAAGCCCGGGGCUCAACCCCGGAACUGCCUUUGAAACUAGGUGACUAGAAUCUUGGAGAGGUCAGUGGAAUUCCGAGUGUAGAGGUGAAAUUCGUAGAUAUUCGGAAGAACACCAGUGGCGAAGGCGACUGACUGGACAAGUAUUGACGCUGAGGUGCGAAAGCGUGGGGAGCAAACAGGAUUAGAUACCCCCGUAGUCCCUGUCUCUUAUAC